UAUGAAGUAAACUAAUAUAAGUUUUAAGAUUCAUACUCUUGCCAUGGUUUAGCCGCCCUUCAUAA
rnacentral:tRNA from 1 species